rnacentral:rRNA from 1 species
CAGCCGCCGCGGUAAUACGAAGGGUGCAAGCGUUACUCGGAAUUACUGGGCGUAAAGCGUGCGUAGGUGGUGGUUUAAGUCCGUUGUGAAAGCCCUGGGCUCAACCUGGGAAUUGCAGUGGAUACUGGGUCACUAGAGUGUGGUAGAGGAUAGUGGAAUUUCCGGUGCAGCGGUGGAAUGCGCAGAUAUCAGGAGGAACACCGACGGCGAAGGCAGAUCUCUGGGCCGUAACUGACGCUGAGGAGCGAAAGCGUGGGGAGCGAACAGGAUUAGAUACCCGGGUAGUCCCUGUCUCUUAUAA